GAUCAUUGACAUUUAGGGAUGUGGCCAUAGAAUUCUCUCUGGAGGAGUGGCAAUGCCUGGACACUGCACAGCAGAAUUUAUAUAGAAAUGUGAUGUUAGAGAACUACAGAAACCUGGUCUUCCUGGGUAUUGCUGCCUUUAAGCCAGACCUGAUCAUUUUUCUGGAGGAAGGAAAAGAGUCCUGGAAUAUGAAGAGACAUGAGAUGGUGGAAGAAUCCCCAGGUAGGUGAGAGUGAAUACAGACAACAUGGAUGAGAGGUCGAAAGUCAAGGAGGAAGCCAGUCCUUAAAGUGAUUCUGGAAGCUGUGUUCCAAAAGAAGUAGUUUCUGGAGAGACUAAUUUUUAUUUUUAUUCUUUAAUUUUCUCUCACACAGGGGCAUCUUCGGUCUUACACUUUUAAAAUUUCUAAGAAUUCUUCUUUCCCUUCAGUAAUCUUCCUUCAAGUUUACAGUGACAGCCAAAGUACUGUUCAUGGCAUACAAGAGAGUGCACAAUCUUUUUGUUUGUUUGUUUUUGUGGACACACAGAUAUCUGCAUGAUUUUAAGAUACUCCAUGUUAAACUAUCUUAUAAGUUCUCUCUUUCCAUCAUCUCUGAAAUGUGUGAGAGUAGUAGUUUCUGUAUCUUUGGGGUUUUUUUGUUCAUUUUUCUGUACAUUUCAUCCUGUUUUUAUUACUGUAGUCUUGAAAUAUAGUUUGAAAUUAUAAAGUA
rnacentral:lncRNA from 1 species